UGCAUAGACCGACUAGUUGUUGUGGAGCACAGGCACGUGGAGCGCGCGCGCAGGGGACAUUUAGUCCCCCAUGCUUCACUAUAGUAACUAGAGGAUUUAUGAGAAUAGUUAAAACAGUGUUGAAUUUCACUGGUUAUGCGUCACGGUGGGUAAUUAAGUUGAGAACUAGUGGUUUAAAUCAUAGCUGUGCAUUUCGGAGAGGGUUAGACCAAUUGUGAGCGAGGAGAAAAGCUGGUAGUAAUGGUUAUCGGAGCUCAUCAAUUUUACUAUUCUGGAAUCAAUGGAGUAUUGUGAAUUCAUGUUCUGAAUGGGUUCCUAUCGUUGAGUGUUAUUUAGAAGAACAUUCAGAAAGGAACAACUGACCUAUCUUAAAUUCAUCCUUCAGCAACUUACCACCUUACAGAUUCCUGACACCAGGAGUUAGCAAACGCCAUUGACACACAUACGUACACACGUGAAUGACACGUGUCAGGUGACAAGCGCCUGUGUUUAUUUAGGACCUAUAUUGCGAUGGAUGCCACCAACCUAUUAUUCUGCGGUCAUGCUAGCUGUAUGAAUAGGUAGCGGUACAGGACGUCGACCUGGGAGUAUGAGCAGCAUAUCAGCCUUCACAGUUACAAAGAUGUAAGGGCGAGUCUGGAGACGAAAUGGUCCGGAUAAUUUUAAUCAUGAAUAUUCUCACUCUGAUCGAAGUGACAUGUAACCAUGGCAA